AUCAGCCUUUUGGGUAUGAUUCUGUGGAGCGUGAGGAGUUAAACGCCUUCAUGCCUGCAUAUUCGUGCUCUUGGGUGUACUUGCUCGUGUGGUUGGUUAACAUCAAUUUCGGUUAUCAAAAAAUGGUUGGAGGAAUGUAGCUUCGAUUUCGAUUGAAGUGUUAUAGCCUUUGGCAGAUGUGAUGAUCGGGAUUGAGGAUUGCAACGGAUACCCUUCGGGGCUACCUGUCUGAUCUCUGAUCGUUGCUCUGGUGCCGAAAGCUUGCUUACGGUUAUCAAAGUCGAUGGUCAACAGGUUAGAAUGGGUUAAAUUCGUUAAGGAUGUUGACGUAAUGGCUUU
rnacentral:rRNA from 1 species